rnacentral:lncRNA from 1 species
ACUGUGAUAAUUGUGGUACAUGUCUCUGGACAUACUGAAACAAACAAACAAACAUUGAAUUGUACAUUUUAAAUGGGUGAGUAAUAUGGUAUAUGAAUUAUAGUUCACUAAAGUUAACAAUUUUUAAAGAGUAUCAUUCCAUUUAUACAAAAUUCUAGAAAAGACAAAAUUAUAAUAACAAUAAGCAGAUCAGUCAUCCUCGAGGGCCAGGACUAUGGAGAGGGGAUUGUCUAUAAUGGGGCCCAAGGGGGAUUUUUGAGGCAAUGGAAAUGUUCUAUGUCUUGAAUGUGGUGGUGGUUACAUUACUGUAUACAUUUGUCAAAACUCAUCAUUUGCACUUUUAAUGUAUGUAAAUCAUACUGCAAAGCUGAUUUUAAAACAUAAUAUUAAAAAAAUACCAAGUUAUUUAAGAUUUUGAUAGGCCCUAAUUCUCCUAGAUUAGAAUAUCAAUGCUGGAGUUCCAUAGGCCUGGGAAAUUCUAUAUUCCUUGAGUACAGCUAUUAAAAAAAAAUGAUAUCAAUGCCAAUGACGGCACUAAUAUUUUGAUAGCUUUGGUAAAUACUGAAUAUUUUAUCAGUUUCUUUUAAAAAGCAAAUUUUACAUACGAUUGCCAAGUAUUCCUCUAUUAGACGGGCUUAUAGACACUGACACAUUUAGCCAUAAAUGGGCCCCAAAAUAAAUAUAAGGUGAAAAUUAUAUAUGGAUACAAGAAGUUUUCUUCCUCAGAAUUGUUUCUCAGAAACAGGAAGUUUCCUUAUAGUCGAGUCUUCAUAUGUUCUCUCAUUACAAGGUAUUUUCUCAAAUGCUUUGUCUUCAAUCUGACAAAAUUGAUUCUUUAAAAAAAAGAAGAAAAAGAAAUUUAACACAAAUCUGGUGUUUUUCAGUUUUUCCUGGAAGACUGGCCUCACUGUAGCAAGACUGGAUGUCACUGUAAACAAGCCUUUUAAAAAGCAAUCCAGAAAGUGAUUACAUUUUGGAGAUCAGGAAUAUAAACCUACAGGACAGAUGACGACCCUCAUUUAUUUGUAUGUCUAGCAAAAUUAAUAUACCAAGGCUGAAUGAGGUUGAAUUUUAAUAAUCUAACAUUUGGGGUCCAUGUACAGCGAUUGUAGUUUUUAUUGUUAUUAGGUAAAUGGACAGUCAUGCUCACUGAGCCUGACUUAACUGGUUCUCACUUUGCCUCAGGAGAGAGACUCAACAGACCAGCGGGUAUGCCAGAAGUAAAUAGGAAGCUACAUCUGGCUUUGCAUCUCUGACUUGGAACCAAGACAUCUGUUAUCAGAAUUGUUGCCAAUUUCAGUCUUAGUGGAUGUGCGAUGUUCACCAGGAACACUUUGAAAAGUCAAAACUAGACCAUUAAUUUCCCAGAGAAUGAACAAUAAGACACAGGAGUUUUAAAGGUGGUGGUUUCACACACUGCAAGAGUUAUUUUCCACAAUAGAAGCUAACUAGCACAAUGGUCACAAAGCCAGUCUGCAGAGCUCUGCAUCUUGGAUCCACCACUUAAAAAUAAUUAACGACCUCUCUGUGUCUCAGUUUAUUUUUCUGUAAAGUGAGGAAAUCAGUAGUAGCUAUCUAGAGAGCUGUUGUGGGAGUUAAAUGAGUUAGUAUGUGUAAGGUGCUUAGAACAGUGCCAGGAAGCAAGUAAAUGUCCUUUAUUACCUGAGAUAGGCUAAGCAGCUGCCAUUAUCCACACUGUACAGAUUGGAGAAACUGAGGAUUAGAAAUAUGAAUGAGCCAUACAGCCAGCCAGUGGCUGAGCCAGGACUAAGCUCUCCAACACCUUGCCCUAGAGUCCUGCCUUUCUAACACAUAUCCUUAAAUUCAGAAUAAAGAAAGAUGGGCUUGUCUCAUAAUCAAGGACCUGUUCACUUUCCAGUUGUGACACUCUAAAAACUGCAAGAACUUGCUUAAGCUAUUAGAAUAGUAUCUUGAAAAUGCCAGCAGUAACCCAUUAGUGAGUCAAAUAUUCAGUUUAGUGAGUUGCAACCAGCAUUAAAAAAAAGAGAAACAUAAUUAGAUUAUAUUAAGUAUAGUGAGGGUUAUUAUUUUGUGAAAUUUUGGUUCAGUUACAUAGCUACUCAUAUAUAAUACAAAUAAAGUGGACUGUAUUAUUUUCUACAAUAUUUCCCUCCUCCCCUCUGUCUGUUUCCUUUUUGAAGCCUCAUUCAUCCUUUCCGGUUACCAGUUGACUUGCAGGACUCUCUACUGCUUUGUUAUUUGGGAGUGGCCAUGGGAUUUAGCAGAGUCAAUGGAAUAGAGCAUCCCUGACCUGCAGUGUUCUGACUUAAAAUUUUUUGACUCUGGGGAGAUGUGAGAGCACUAUCAUUCAAUAGAAACUGUACUUCGAAUUCUGACUUGAUCUUUUGCCAGGCUAGUGAUAUGCAAUGGGUACUCCUCAGUGACGUUGGACGGCAGAAGGCACCACAGCUCCUGGUCAGCCACACAAUCAAUGGGGACAACAAAUACAUAUACAACCAUUCUGUACCCAACCAUUCUGUUUUCCCUUCUGGGUGCAGCAUUCAAUAAAUUACAUGAGAUAUAUAACAUUUUGUUAUGAAAAUAUAGUUUGCAUUAGGUAAUCUUGCCCAACUGUAGGCUAAUGUAAGUGUUCUGAGCACAUUUAAGGUAGGCUAGGCUAGGCUACUAUGUGUGCUAGGUUAGGUGUGUUAAAUAUACUCACCACUUAUGAGGGUUUACCAGGACUUGACCCUACUGUAAGCUGAGGAAAUCUACAUAAGCAUGUGAGAUACUGCUGAGUCUCAGCAGUAGCCUUCAGAUCAAUUAUGAAAUUGGGCUCAGGGCUUUACUCUUUCCCUCUGCUAUGAACACAUCUCGGGUUGGGGCUGUUCCUUUACCUGGAGUCCUGGAAUGGCGAGUUACUUGGAGCAGAGUUGCAGCCUUCCAAGGCCUGGGAGAGAGAGCUACAGUGUAGAAUAGAACAACUGGGAACCCACAGCUGAUAAGUAACACAAUGAGGAAGAAAUCUAAAUGAGAUCCUGCUGUGUAGCACUGGGAACUAUGUCUAGUCACUUAUGAUGGAGCAUGAUAAUGUGCGAAAAAAGAAUGUACACAUGCAUGUGUAACUGGUUCACCAUGCUGUACAGUAGGAAAAAUAAAUAAAUAAAUAAAAGGAAAAAAGAAAAACAAGGUAAAAUCAUUUUCUUUUCUUUCUUUCUUUUUUUUUUUUUUUUCUUUUGGCUAUUUCUUGGGCAGCUUCCGCGGCAUAUGGAGGUUCCCAGGCUAGGGGUCGAAGCGGAGCUGUAGCU